rnacentral:rRNA from 1 species
AUUGCACGAUGGCGGCAGGCCUAACACAUGCAAGUUGAGCGGAGCGGCGGACGGUUGAGUAAUGCCUAGGAAUCUGCCUGGUAGUGGGGGAUAACGUCCGGAUACGGGCGCUAAUACCGCAUACUACUAGCUGAGACUAGGUCGGAUUAGCUAGUUGGUGGGGUAAAGGCCUACGAAGGCGACCAUCCGUAACUGGUCUGAGAGGAUGAUCAGUCACACUGUGACUGAGACACGGUCCAGACUCCUACGGGAGGCAGCAGUGGGGAAUAUUGGACAAUGGGCGAAAGCCUGAUCCAGCCAUGCCGCGUGUGUGAAGAAGGUCUUCGGAUUGUAAAGCACUUUAAGUUGGGAGGCGUUACCAACAGAAUAAGCACCGGCUAACUUCGUGCCAGCAGCCGCGGUAAUUC